rnacentral:rRNA from 1 species
AGAGUUUGAUCAUGGCUCAGGACGAACGCUGGCGGCAUGCCUAAUACAUGCAAGUCGAACGAGCUGACAGAGUGCUUGCACUCUCGACGCGAGUGGCGGACGGGUGAGUAACACGUGGGAAACCUACCUGUAAGUAGGGGAUAACAUUCGGAAACGGAUGCUAAUACCCUAUAGGUUUCAGUUCCGCAUGGAACUGAAAGGAAAGACGGCUUUGCUGUCGCUUACAGAUGGUCCCGCGGCGCAUUAGCUAGUUGGUGGGAUAAAAGCUCACCAAGGCUGUGAUGCGUAGCCGACCUGAGAGGGUAACCGGCCACACUGGGACUGAGACACGGCCCAGACUCCUACGGGAGGCAGCAGUAGGGAAUCUUCCGCAAUGGACGCAAGUCUGACGGAGCAAUGCCGCGUGAAUGAAGAAGGUCUUCGGAUCGUAAAAUUCUGUUGUUAGAGAAGAACAAGGAGUAGGUAACUACUACUCCCUUGACGGUAUCUAACCAGAAAGCCACGGCUAACUACGUGCCAGCAGCCGCGGUAAUACGUAGGUGGCAAGCGUUGUCCGGAUUUAUUGGGCGUAAAGGGAGCGCAGGCGGUGACUUAAGUCUGAUGUGAAAGCCCACGGCUCAACCGUGGAAGGUCAUUGGAAACUGGGUCACUUGAAUAUAGAAGAGGAAAGUGGAAUUCCAUGUGUAGCGGUGAAAUGCGUAGAUAUAUGGAGGAACACCAGUGGCGAAGGCGACUUUCUGGUCUAUUAUUGACGCUGAGGCUCGAAAGCAUGGGUAGCAAACAGGAUUAGAUACCCUGGUAGUCC